rnacentral:snRNA from 1 species
GGCUAUGAGUGCAGUCUGACUGCAACUUGUCACCCUGUUGAUCACCAGGGUUGAUCUGGCUUAUGUGGCUGCCUACGCGGGUGUCCCCUUCCUCCCACACCACUCCUUGUGCGUCCCUCCUGAAGCUAAGCAAAGUGGAAGAAGAUGACUUUCUCCCAUAGAGAAGGACCAUUCUUGGGUCAAGGAUAUAUGAGAAGCUUCAGUACCCUGCUAAAACCUCCAAACAAGCUCUCAAGGUCCAUUUCUGGGGAACACAGGGUAUUCAAACUUCCAAAAAUCCAGACACAUCCGAACGAGGUGGUACAUGUGGCAGUCUGCCUUUCUAA